AGCGGCCGCAGUGGCCGCAGGGUGCCCGGUCGCCGCCCCCUCCGCCCGCAGUUCCCGGGGCCUGAGCCUCCGCGAGCCGGGAUAGGACCGAGUGGCGGGGCUCGGAGCCGCCUCGGCAGGCGCGGCCCUUCCCUCCCUGCAGGGAUUCCCGUCCUCUCGGGUCCCGCUGCCCCGCCCCGACUGCGGACGGAGUGGAUGGGGUGCACCGCCUCAGACCCGCUUCCUGGGGUCGCGAACUUCCCGGGCCCCAAGGUCCCUGCCACCUCUUCCAAAUGCUGGAGGACUACGCACUUCUACAAAAUGUUCAUCUAUAAUUGUUCAUCAGACCAGGCUAAAUAAGGAUAAUGGCACAAAAGAAAAAUAAGACCCAAAUGGAGACAUCAACCACAGACACCUGGCAAAAAAUCUUCUGCUAAAACCUGAUUUUGUGACAAAAUGCUGCCUUAUCUUGCUGAUGAUUUCAUGGACAAUAAAAGGAAAGAAGAUGAAGAAGAACAUUCUAAGGUCCCUAACCUUUGCACUUUGCUGCUCCGAUUGAAUGUCAAAGUCGACAAGUGUCAAUAAUGGAAUUUGAAUGCUUGUUGGUUUGUCUGUGCAACAGCAGUUCUAUCAAUGCUCAGAACGUCUUGGUCUUCCUUUAUUUUUUCUUUCAAUACAUGUUCAUCUAGAUUUGACCUUCCAAAUUGGACUUUUAAAAAAUCACUUAUUUGGCCAGGCGCAAUGGCUCACACCUGUAAUCCAAGCACUUUGGGAGGCCAGUUCGAGACCAGCCUGGACAACAUGGUGAAAACCUGUCUCUACUAAAAAUGCCAAAUUUCCCAGCACUUUGGGAGGCUGAGGUGGGUGGAUCACGAGGUCAGGAGAUCGAGACCAUCCUGGCUAACACGGUGAAACCCCGUCUCUACUAAAAAUACAAAAAAAUUAGCCGGGCGUGGUGGCAGGCGCCUGUAGUCCCAGCUACUCAGGAGGCUGAGGGAGGAGAAUGGCAUAAACCCAG
rnacentral:lncRNA from 1 species